rnacentral:rRNA from 1 species
UACGAAGGGGGGCUAGCGUUGCUCGGAAUUACUGGGCGUAAGGCGCACGUAGGCGGCUUGUUAAGUCAGGGGUGAAAUCCUGGAGCUCAACUCCAGAACUGCCUUUGAUACUGGCGAGCUUGAGUUCGGGAGAGGUGAGUGGAACUGCGAGUGUAGAGGUGAAAUUCGUAGAUAUUCGCAAGAACACCAGUGGCGAAGGCGGCUCACUGGCCCGAUACUGACGCUGAGGUGCGAAAGCGUGGGGAGCAAACAGG